rnacentral:rRNA from 1 species
GACGGAGGAUGCAGGCGUUAUCCGGAAUUAUUGGGCGUAAAGCGUCCGUAGGUGUCCUAUCAAGUCUGCUGUUAAAUCCCAGGGCUCAACUCUGGAUCAGCAGUGGAAACUGAUAAGCUAGAGUGCGGUAGGGGCAGAGGGAAUUCCCGGUGUAGCGGUGAAAUGCGUAGAUAUCGGGAAGAACACCAGUGGCGAAGGCGCUCUGCUGGGCCGUAACUGACACUCAUGGACGAAGGCUAGGGGACCUAAAGGG